GCAUGGCCGAAUACUGUAUUCUUUUUAGCAGGAGUUUACACAGCCAGACACCAUGCAAAAACAAGAGCAGUCUUCCCUUUAAAGUGGUUAUGAUGGUAUGCUGUGUUUUUCAUAGCAUAUUAUUACUAACGGGAAAUAACAAA